rnacentral:rRNA from 1 species
GUAGGGGGGGCAAGCGUUGUCCGGAAUUAUUGGGCGUAAAGCGCGCGCAGGCGGCCCACCAAGUCAGAUGUGAAAUCCCUCGGCUUAACCGAGGACCUGCAUUUGAAACUGGUAGGCUAGAGUACAGGAGAGGGAAGUGGAAUUCCUAAUGUAGCGGUGAAAUGCGCAGAUAUUAGGAAGAACACCGGUGGCGAAGGCGGCUUCCUGGACUGUUACUGACGCUGAGGUGCGAAAGCUAGGGGAGCAAACAGGAUUAGAUACCCUGGUAGUCCUAGCCGUAAACGAUGGUCACUAGGUGUAGGGGGUUAUCAACUCCCCCUGUGCCGAAGCUAACGCAUUAAGUGACCCGCCUGGGGAGUACGGCCGCAAGGCUA